rnacentral:lncRNA from 1 species
GUGAAUCUUGGAGCAGUCCUGGCUAUUUAAGUUGUAAUUGAAAUUUGUGGAUAUUGUUAGGUGAUUGAAAACUAUACAGUUUAUCGGUAAUUUUAUAAUAUUAUUAUUGAUCCGUGUGAAAAGAAAUCACACCUAAUUAAAAUUAUUCAUUUGAUCAUGCUGUUGUCCAACAACAAAUAUGACAACUCCACACCUAAUUAAACGUAUUUUCUCUACGGAUCCGGCAAUCGAUAGGUACGUAUUGCUGGUCAUAGUUCUUCGCUGACGAAUCAAUUGAAGUACCAGCUCUACGUACCUAGCUACUGAUUGACUAGCUCUCGCCCAUCCCGCGCUGUCAAGAGAAGCUGCAAAAUCGAAACAAAAAGAUGAAACACGCACUAAUCAGCUUCGAAAAUCAUUGUCAAGUAUGCUUGUCAAACCAAAAACGAAUCCCUUUUAAACUUGAUUUCUUCCAUAAUCAAUCUUGGGUAGAAUUUUUUUAUUUUUUAAAUAUUUUUAAUAAAUAAUUUUAUUACUAAACCUCAGAAAAAAAUAUUUUCACUGUAUGAAUCUUUUGGCCACGUCAGUGUUGGUGGCGUGGCAAGACGCUGCCACGCUACCGACAAUGGUGUGGGCAAGCCUACCACGCCAAAAACCCUAUGUGGCAGUGUUGUUUUCUAUGCUAAUGUUGAUGGUGUAGUCAAAAGGUUUAUCCGGUGAAAAUAUUUUUUACCGAGGUUUAGUAAUAAAAUUAUUUAUUGGAAAUGUUUAAAAAAUAAAAAAAAUUCCCUUGGGUACGUAGUUGCUUAGUUGGAUACCUUCUACAGUAGGAAAUGAUGUUGUGGGCGUCGGCCCCGAGCCUGAGCCCGACGACGCCGCAGAGGCCGGGAAGCAGCGCGAUGGCGGACGCGCUGGGGCCGUGG